rnacentral:rRNA from 1 species
GACGAACGCUGGCGGCGUGCUUAACACAUGCAAGUCGAACGGAAAGGCCCUGCUUUUGUGGGGUGCUCGAGUGGCGAACGGGUGAGUAACACGUGAGUAACCUGCCCUUGACUUUGGGAUAACUUCAGGAAACUGGGGCUAAUACCGGAUAGGAGCUCCUGCUGCAUGGUGGGGGUUGGAAAGUUUCGGCGGUUGGGGAUGGACUCGCGGCUUAUCAGCUUGUUGGUGGGGUAGUGGCUUACCAAGGCUUUGACGGGUAGCCGGCCUGAGAGGGUGACCGGCCACAUUGGGACUGAGAUACGGACCAGACUCAUACGGGAGGCAGCAGUGGGGAAUAUUGCACAAUGGGAGGAAGCCUGAUGCAGCAACGCCGCGUGCGGGAUGACGGCCUUCGGGUUGUAAACCGCUUUCGCCUGUGACGAAGAGUGAGUGACGGUAAUGGGUAAAGAAGCAACGGCUAACUACGUG